rnacentral:rRNA from 1 species
AGAACGAACGCUGGCGGCAUGCCUAAUACAUGCAAGUCGAACGAACACUUCGGUGUUAGUGGCGCACGGGUGCGUAACGCGUGGGAAUCUGCCCUUGGGUUCGGAAUAACAGUUGGAAACGACUGCUAAUACCGGAUGAUGACGAAAGUCCAAAGAUUUAUCGCCCAGGGAUGAGCCCGCGUAGGAUUAGCUAGUUGGUGAGGUAAAGGCUCACCAAGGCGACGAUCCUUAGCUGGUCUGAGAGGAUGAUCAGCCACACUGGGACUGAGACACGGCCCAGACUCCGUACGGGAGGCAGCAGUAGGGAAUAUUGGACAAGUGGGCGCAAGCCUGAUCCAGCAAUGCCGCGUGAGUGAUGGAAGGCCUUAAGGGUUGUAAAGUCUCUUUUACCCGAGAUUAGAUAAUGUACAGUAUCGGAAGAACUAACGCCCGGACUAACUCCGUCGACCAAGCACGCCGUACGGU